rfam:Ananas comosus cultivar MD2 ACMD2_Scaffold_1388, whole genome shotgun sequence.
AGGAUUAGAGCCACUGAGACUAGCCAAGGAGACUGCCUGUGUAAACCAUAAGGUGCUUUUUUUAGAGUAUUUCGAUCGCAAAGAAACGUCCGAAGAGGUUACAGGCAAGUCAUCCUUGGCUAUCAAAGAUAGACUCUCGUCG